GGGGUGUGUAAUAGACUUACCUCCACGUGGUACACCCUGGGCAACGUAUGCUCAUACGGCAAAAAGUUUAUAA
rnacentral:ribozyme from 1 species